rnacentral:rRNA from 1 species
GAUGAACGCUGGCGGCGUGCCUAAUACAUGCAAGUCGAGCGAACAGACGAGGAGCUUGCUCCUCCGACGUUAGCGGCGGACGGGUGAGUAACACGUGGAUAACCUCCCUAUAAGACUGGGAUAACUUCGGGAAACCGGAGCUAAUACCGGAUAAUAUAUUGAACCGCAUGGUUAAAUAGUGAAAGACGGUUUUGCUGUCACUUAUAGUUGGUUCCGCGCCGCAUUAGCUAGUUGGUAAGGUAACGGCUUACCAAGGCGACGAUGCGUAGCCGACCUGAGAGGGUGAUCGGCCACACUGGAACUGAGACACGGUCCAGACUCCUACGGGAGGCAGCAGUAGGGAAUCUUCCGCAAUGGGCGAAAGCCUGACGGAGCAACGCCGCGUGAGUGAUGAAGGUCUUCGGAUCGUAAAACUCUGUUAUUAGGGAAGAACAAAUGUGUAAGUAACUAUGCACGUCUUGACGGUACCUAAUCAGAAAGCCACGGCUAACUACGUG